rnacentral:sRNA from 1 species
AGCUUCGGUCCGGAGUUGAUGGGUUACCCUUACUAUUUCACCUAUUGCAGGAGAAAAUGUACCCCCUUCCCAUUAACACCAACUUGAUCGACAC